AUUGAACGCUGGCGGCAGGCCUAACACAUGCAAGUCGAGCGGGGUUUUCGGACCUAGCGGCGGACGGGUGAGUAAUGCGUAGGAAGCUACCCGAUAGAGGGGGAUACCAGUUGGAAACGACUGUUAAUACCGCAUAAUGUCUACGGACCAAAGUGUGGGACCUUCGGGCCACGUGCUAUCGGAUGCGCCUACGUGGGAUUAGCUAGUUGGUGAGGUAAUGGCUCACCAAGGCGACGAUCCCUAGCUGGUUUGAGAGAAUGAUCAGACACACUGGAACUGAGACACGGUCCAGACUCCUACGGGAGGCAGCAGUGGGGAAUAUUGGACAAUGGGCGCAAGCCUGAUCCAGCCAUGCCGCGUGUGUGAAGAAGGCCUUCGGGUUGUAAAGCACUUUCAGUAGGGAGGAAGCGUUGUGUGUUAAUAGUACACAGCGUUGACGUUACCUACAGAAGAAGCACCGGCUAACUCUGUGCCAGCCGCCGCCGUAACAC
rnacentral:rRNA from 1 species